UAGAGGAAGUAAAAGUCGUAACAAGGUCUCCGUUGGUGAACCAGCGGAGGGAUCAUUACUGAGUUUACGCUCUACAACCCUUUGUGAACAUACCUAUAACUGUUGCUUCGGCGGGUAGGGUCUCCGCGACCCUCCCGGCCUCCCGCCUCCGGGCGGGUCGGCGCCCGCCGGAGGAUAACCAAACUCUGAUUUAACGACGUUUCUUCUGAGUGGUACAAGCAAAUAAUCAAAACUUUUAACAACGGAUCUCUUGGUUCUGGCAUCGAUGAAGAACGCAGCGAAAUGCGAUAAGUAAUGUGAAUUGCAGAAUUCAGUGAAUCAUCGAAUCUUUGAACGCACAUUGCGCCCGCCAGCAUUCUGGCGGGCAUGCCUGUUCGAGCGUCAUUUCAACCCUCAAGCUCUGCUUGGUGUUGGGGCCCUACAGCCGAUGUAGGCCCUCAAAGGUAGUGGCGGACCCUCCCGGAGCCUCCUUUGCGUAGUAACUUUACGUCUCGCACUGGGAUCCGGAGGGACUCUUGCCGUAAAACCCCCCAAUUUUCCAAAGGUUGACCUCGGAUCAGGUAGGAAUACCCGCUGAACUUAAGCAUAU
rnacentral:rRNA from 1 species